GACGAACGCUGGCGGCGUGCUUAACACAUGCAAGUCGAACGGAAAGGCCCUGCUUUUGUGGGGUGCUCGAGUGGCGAACGGGUGAGUAACACGUGAGUAACCUGCCCUUGACUUUGGGAUAACUUCAGGAAACUGGGGCUAAUACCGGAUAGGAGCUCCUGCUGCAUGGUGGGGGUUGGAAAGUUUCGGCGGCUGGGGAUGGACUCGCGGCUUAUCAGCUUGUUGGUGGGGUAGUGGCUUACCAAGGCUUUGACGGGUAGCCGACCUGAGAGGGUGACCGGCCACAUUGGGACUGAGAUACGGCCCAGACUCCUACGGGAGGCAGCAGUGGGGAAUAUUGCACAAUGGGCGGAAGCCUGAUGCAGCAACGCCGCGUGCGGGAUGACGGCCUUCGGGUUGUAAACCGCUUUCGCCUGUGACGAAGCGUGAGUGACGGUAAUGGGUAAAGAAGCACCGGCUAACUACGUG
rnacentral:rRNA from 1 species